UGGUGAUGUACAUUUCCAGGAUCAUGGCAU
rnacentral:piRNA from 1 species